GACGAACGCUGGCGGCGUGCUUAACACAUGCGAGUCGAACGAAGUGGCGACCGGUUGAGUAACGCGUAAUCAACCUGCCCUUCAGAGGGGGACCACCGUUGGAAACGACUGCUAAUCCCGCAUACUGUAGGAUGGGAUUGCGUCUGAUUAGCUAGUUGGGGGGGUAACGGCCCACCAAGGCGAUGAUCAGUAGCCGGUCUGGGAGGGUGGACCGCCAAAUUGGGACUGGGGACCUGCCCAGACUCCUACGGGGGGGAGCAGGGGGGAAUCUUCCGAAAUGGGGGGAAGUCUGACGAAGCAACGCCGCGUGAGAGAUGACGGCCUUCGGGUUGUAAAGGUCUGUUAAUCGGGACGCGGUACCGGAAGAGAAAGCCACGGCUAACUACGUGCCAGCAGCCGCGGUAAUAC
rnacentral:rRNA from 1 species